GGUGCGCCAACCUCGCAAGAGGAAGCAGCCGGCCACGGUAGGCUCAGUGACUGGGGUGAAGUCGUAACAAGGUAGCCGUAGGGGAACCUGCGGCUGGAUCACCUCCUUUCUAAGG
rnacentral:rRNA from 1 species